GGAUAAGGAAAGUAAAAAAGGGCGCAUGGCGGAUGCCUUGGCUCUCGGAGGCGAUGAAGGACGUGAUAAGCUGCGAUAAGCUUUGGGGAGGUGCAAAUGACCUUUGAUCCAGAGAUUUCCGAAUGGGACAACCCAAUAUCUUGAAGAGGUAUUAUCNNNNNNNNNNNNNNNNNNNNNNNNNNNNNNNNNNNGAGGCUAACGCAGGGAACUGAAACAUCUUAGUACCUGCAGGAAAAGAAAAUAAACAAUGAUUCCCCCAGUAGUGGCGAGCGAACGGGGAACAGCCCAAACCAUCCAUGUUACGGCAUGUGUGGGGUUGUAGGACUACGCCGUUGCAUGAAGACAUCAGAGAAGAACUUUCUGGAAAGAAAGACCAUAGAGCAUGACAGUUGCGUAUUCGAAUGUUGUCGAAGCAUAGUAGUAUCCUGAGUAGCGCGGAGCACGAGGAAUUCUGCGUGAAUCUGCCGGGACCAUCCGGUAAGGCUAAAUACUCCCGAGAGACCGAUAGCGAACCAGUACCGUGAGGGAAAGGUGAAAAGCACUUCGAACAGAAGAGUGAAAUAGUUCCUGAAACCGUGCGCCUACAAGCGGUCGGAGCUCGUUAAUGAGUGACGGCGUGCCUUUUGCAUAAUGAACCUACGAGUUGCCUUUGCCGGCAAGGUUAAGUGUGACGACACACGUAUCCGAAGCGAAAGCGAGUCUGAAUAGGGCGUAUAGUCGGCAGUGGCAGACGCGAAACCAAGUGAUCUACCCUUGGCCAGGUUGAAGGCUGGGUAACACCAGCUGGAGGACCGCACCAAUAAGCGUUGAAAAGCUUCUGGAUGAGCUGAGGGUAGGGGUGAAAGGCUAAUCAAACUUGGAGAUAGCUCGUACUCCCCGAAAUGCAUUUAGGUGCAGCCUUGCGGGUUACUGAUGUGAGGUAGAGCGACUGAUAAGAUGCGAGGGCUUCACCGCCUAUCAAGUCUUGACAAACUCCGAAUGCGCAUCAGUUCUACCGCAGGAGUGAGGGCAUGGGUGCUAAGGUCCGUGCCCGAGAGGAGAAGAAUCCGGACCACCUGCUAAGGUCCCGAAAUGACAGCUAAGUUAAACUAACGAAGUCUGACUGCUAAGACAGCUAGGAUGUUGGCUUGGAAGCAGCCAUUCAUUUAAAGAGUGCGUAACAGCUCACUAGUCGAGGAGUCGGGCGUGGAUAAUAAUCGGGUAUCAAGUUGUCUACCGAAGCAGUGGGAUCAUUUAUAUGAUCGGUAGGGGAGCAUUCCAGUCAGCGUCGAAGGCGUACCGUGAGGUAUUCUGGAGCGUCUGGAAAAGCAAAUGUAGGUAUAAGUAACGAUAAAGGGGGCGGGAAACCCCCUCGCCGAAAGACUAAGGUUUCCUGAUCAACGCUAAUCGGAUCAGGGUCAGUCGGGUCCUAAGGCUCAGCCGAACGGCGAUGCCGAUGGCAGAAACGGUUAAUAUUCCGUUACUACCUUCAGGAGUGACGUGGAGACGCAGUAGUGACAGUGCCGCCAUCUGACGGAAUAGAUGGUUGAAGGGUGUAGGAGUCGAUCAUGGCAGGCAAAUCCACCAUGAGAUCCGAACCUGAUAGUAUGCCGCGUCCUUCGGGACAAGGCAAUAGUGCGCGUAAGCAUGCUGCCGAGAAAAUCCGCUAAACUUAAUCCUGUAGGUACCCGUACCGCAAACGGACACACGUAGUCGGGAUGAAUAUUCUAAGGCGCUUGAGUGAUUCACGGUUAAGGAACUAGGCAAACUGACCCUGUAACUUCGGGAUAAAGGGUCCCUACCCUUUUAUGGGAGGGCGCAGAGAAUCGGUCCAGGCAACUGUUUAACAAAAACACAGGGCUGUGCCAAAUCGAAAGAUCCAGUAUACAGCCUGACACCUGCCCGGUGCUGGAAGGUUAAGAGGAGAUGUCAUCGAUAAGAGAAGCGUUGAAUUGAAGCCCCAGUAAACGGCGGCCGUAACUAUAACGGUCCUAAGGUAGCGAAAUUCCUUGUCGGGUAAGUUCCGACCUGCACGAAUGGUGUAAUGAUCUGGACGCUGUCUCAACCGUGAGCUCAGUGAAAUUGUAGUAUCGGUGAAGAUGCCGAUUACCCGCGAUGGGACGAAAAGACCCCGUGAACCUUUACUAUAGCUUAUCAUUGAAUCUGGGCACGUGAUGUGUAGGAUAGGUCGGAGGCUUUGAAGCAGGUACGCCAGUAUUUGUGGAGCCGCUGUUGAAAUACGACCCUUUAUUUGUUUGGAUUCUAACCCGUGGUACGGGGACAUUGAUUGGUGGGUAGUUUGACUGGGGUGGUCGCCUCCAAAAGCGUAACGGAGGCUUCUAAAGGUGCCCUCCGGCCGAUUGGUAACCGGCCUUAGAGUGUAAUGGCAUAAGGGCGCUUGACUGGGAGACUAACAAGUCGAUCAGGUAGGAAACUAGAGCAUAGUGAUCCGGUGUUUCCGUAUGGAAGGGACAUCGCUCAAAGGAUAAAAGGUACUCCGGGGAUAACAGGCUGAUCCCUCCCAAGAGCUCAUAUCGACGGAGUGGUUUGGCACCUCGAUGUCGGCUCGUCACAUCCUGGGGCUGGAGAAGGUCCCAAGGGUUGGGCUGUUCGCCCAUUAAAGUGGCACGCGAGCUGGGUUCAGAACGUCGUGAGACAGUUCGGUCUCUAUCUAUCGUGGGCGUAUGAAAUUUGCGUGGCUCUGACACUAGUACGAGAGGACCGUGUUGGACAGACCUCUGGUUUGCCGGUUGUGCCGCCAGGUGCAUUGCCGGGUAUCUAAGUCUGGAUCGGAUAAGUGCUGAAAGCAUCUAAGUACGAAGCCGGCCACAAGAUUAGAUUUCUCAGGGUCGUUGUAGACUACGACGUUGAUAGGAUGCAGGUGUAAAGAUGGAGACAUCAAAGCCGAGCAUUACUAAUUGCCCGUUCACUUUCCUUA
rnacentral:rRNA from 2 species